GAAUAAAACCGCUUACAAAACUCACGCAACACAAAAACGAUUCCUUUUUUACUCCUCUUUCCAUUCCAUUUCCUCAAAAACUCCCAAAAUUCUCCGAUCCCGUCAACUCUCUCUCUCUCUCUCUCUCCAACGUCUCCUCGCUCUCCAAUUCUAGGGUUUCUCUCUCAUUUCCCCCAAAUUUGGCCUCAGCUGCAAGAUCUAAGCCCAGUCAAUGCCCCAAUCUAGGGCAAAUUGGGCACUGACUGAUCGCCAUUACCCUCUUCUGAGAUCAGCGGUUGUCGAUCUCUAAUUUGGUGCAGAUUCGAUUCUUCUGGUUAUCAGAGGAGGCUGUUUCAGCUCAAUACCAGCUGCAGGAGGCUUUCUAAUUCGGUCAGCUUGGUUUCUUGACGGCUCCUUAUGGGCAGAAACUUUGCUGACCUCUGACUUCAUAUAAGUUUCAUUUUCGCAAACUUUUUAAGGUCAUAUAUAGAGAGCCCAUCUCUUCUUAUAUGCACAAAAAUGCCUUCGUGGUGGGGGAAGUCUUCAUCUAAAGAUGUAAAGAAAAAGACAAGAAAGGAAAAUUUUGUUAAUACGUUGCAUCGGUUCAUGAGCCUAACUGACCAAAAGGAUGAUGCUCGAUCUGAGAGGUCCCAAAAAUGUAAUAUAUCUUUAGGCAGGGAACCUCAGUCAAGAGUGGAAUCACGAGCAGAAUCACGGUCUACAUCUGCUCAAGUUUCACGCUGCCAAAGCUUUGCGGAUAGGCCACCUGAUCCACAGCCACUUCCACUUCCUAGGGUUCACUCAGAUAUACCACGCAUACAAUCUCGAGCUGUUGUUGUGAAACCUAUACUGGAAAAGCGCGGCAGACCACAGUUGUUUCUUCCGCUUCCAGCAUCAGAUUGUGAUUCGAGGGGACCACAUGCCAUGGAGAUUGAUGUAGAUUUAGGUACUGCCUUAUUUUACAGAAAUUGCUCUAAUGAUAAUGAUGAUCAAGCAGACUCUCAACUUCAAAGCCCGGUAGGUAUUGAUGCUGCAACUGUUAACAAAGAUAUAGCACAUCGACCUUUCAGCUUGGCACAAAAAAAUCUGCCUCCCAUUGAUAUUCAGAAGAGUUCAAGAGUGAUGGUCAAGUCUGCUAAUUCAUUGGUCAAUAACCAAAUUAUUUCUACAUCACCUAAGCAAGGACCACCCACCAAAGAGAUUCCCCAGUAUGGACCUUUGGGAAGUGCUCCCGACAGUUUGAUGUCGAGUCCUUCUAGAAGCCCCAUGAGAGUGGUUCACCCUGAGCAAAUUCCCACAUCUGCAUUUUGGGCAACCAAGCCUAACCCAGAUGGCAACUUCCUUGGAUCUGCACAGUGCUCCAGUCCUGGUUCUGGUCAGACCUCAGGGCAUAAUUCGAUGGGCGGAGAUAUAUCAGGACAUCUAUUUUGUCUACAUAGUAGGGGUAGUACAGAGUGUUCUCCAGUUCUUAGCCCGAGAAUGACAAGUCCUGGUCCUAACUCUAGGAUACACAGUGGAUCUGUCUCUCCAUUACAUCCACGAGCAGGAGGAGCACUUGAGUCGCCUACAUCACUGGUUGAUGAGGGAAGAAAACAAAGUCAUCGUUUACCACUACCACCAAUCAAAGUAUCUCACUGCUCGCCAUUCCCAUUACCAAGUUCUACAUCAAACUCUCCUCGCUCAGUUCCUCGUAGCCCUGGAAGGAUAGACAACCCCAUAAGUCCUGGGUCCCGAUGGAAGAAAGGGAAGCUAAUUGGUCAGGGUACAUUUGGGCAUGUUUAUGUUGGCUUUAACAGUGAAAAUGGUGAAAUGUGUGCAAUGAAGGAGGUUACCCUUUUUUCUGAUGAUGCCAAAUCAAGGGAGAGCGCCAAGCAGCUGGGUCAAGAAAUAUCUCUUUUGAGUCGGCUACGGCAUCCUAACAUAGUGCAAUACUAUGGUUCUGAAACGGUGGAUGAUAAACUUUACAUAUACCUGGAGUAUGUAUCUGGUGGUUCCAUCCAUAAACUUCUACAAGAAUAUGGACAGUUUGGAGAAGUAGCCGUUCGCAACUAUACUAAGCAAAUACUUUCGGGGCUUGCGUAUUUGCAUGCCAAGAAUACUGUCCAUAGGGAUAUCAAAGGAGCAAAUAUCCUUGUAGAUCCUAAUGGGCGUGUAAAAUUAGCUGACUUUGGGAUGGCAAAACAUAUUACUGGGCAAUCAUGUCCACUAUCAUUCAAGGGAAGUCCCUACUGGAUGGCUCCUGAGGUUAUCAAAAAUGCAAAUGGAUGUAACCUUGCUGUUGAUAUAUGGAGCCUUGGUUGCACAAUUUUGGAGAUGGCUACAUCAAAACCACCAUGGAGCCAAUAUGAAGGGAUUGCUGCAAUGUUCAAGAUUGGGAACAGUAGGGAGCUUCCAGCAAUUCCUGGUCAUCUGUCAGAAGAUGGGAAGGAUUUUAUAAGACGGUGUCUACAACGAGAACCAUCAUAUCGUCCUACAGCUGCUGAGCUUCUGCAACACCCCUUCGUGAAAAAUUCUGCUCCAGUGGAUAGAUCCUUCCCUUCUCCUGAAACUUUAGAACUCCGUACAAGUGAUCCAUGUACAGCAACUUAUAAGGGUUUUGGACAUGUGAGAAACCUUUCCUCCCUGGAAGUUGAUGUUACUGGAAAGCACCAGCUCAGAGGCGCAAAAUCUACUACGCUAACCAGCGAUGGCCGUGCAUGGAAUUUAUCUUGUCCAGUGUCUCCCAUUGGAAGCCCUUUAUUGGGUUCAAGAUCUCCGCAACAUAUUGAUGGGAGGUUAUCACCUUCUCCUAUUUCAAGCCCUAGAACCACCUCAGGUGCAUCGACUCCACUAGCAGGUGGAAAUGGGGCUAUUCCUUAUAAUCAACCCAAGCACAUGGCUUACAUUCAUGAAGGUUCCACAAGCGUGCUAAGAUCUUCAAACAAUCAAAGCAACACCAGUUCUACCUAUCAUGACCCUAGUCUGACUCUUCUUCGACAAAUGCAGCAGGACUCUUUGACUUUUGGGAAACUAGUAUCAUCUGAUGUUCCCCAUAUUCAAUAUGGAAGGAAACUGAAUAAGGGUUUCCGUGGAGGGCAUGAUAGCAAGGCUAUAUAGGCCUAUCAGUCAAAAGCUGAAGUCAUCACUAAAUUUUGUCCUGGUCCAACUCAAGGGCAUAGAGAUGUUAUCUAACUUUGUGCAAAGACUGUGAGCUGAUGCUUUAUUUUUGCUGGCUUAUUUUGUUUGGUCCAGCAUGUGGAGACGUUGGCUUCAUACAACAUCUGACAUAACUCAAGGGCCAAAAGAAGAGAAAAAAGAAACUGCAAGCAGAUUGAUCAGAGGAAAGUGGAGGUUACUGGACUAGUUCCUGUUCCUCGCUAGUGACGGUGAUGUCAAGUUCAUAUAGAGAAAUAAAGGCCCUUGGUGUUCCUCUGGUGUGUCUGUAUCAGCAGUUCUAACAGAAGUUUCUUUUACGACUGUAACUGAUUAUGGAAUGACAUCAGUGAAGAAUUUCGAGCUGACUUUGUACAGAAGACUUCAAAAAAUUCCAGAAUGUAUCCCGAUUUUGUUGGUCUAUUCUCCAGGGUGGUCCGAGUUUCGGAUGCUGUAGACUCGAGGAGUCGCAUUUGUUCCUUCCAUUUACAUAACAAGAUAGAAAUUGCAAAGAUGCUCAACCUUUUUGCGUGUAACUUACCGUCUGACCGUCUGAGGGUGUAAGGUCCGUACCCCUAGCAAUUUGUGGGAUCGUUGCGCUUUUAUUUUCGACUAACUGUGUACAGUAUUCUGUGCCAAUUAAUAGUUAAUUUCAAUCCAAUACCUGGGUAAACUGCACUUGUGCAUGUUAUGACAUUCCUUCCCCGUACAAGACCUGGGUUUUGUUUCUUUGAGUUAGCAAGGUGUUAUUGGCCAAGUAUACUUCAUCUCAUGACAAAAAAAGGCAAAAAAGAUUUUUUA